GAGCGUAUAGCCAAGUGGUUAAGGCUGUGAGCUGCAACCUCACCAACGGGGGUUCAAAUCCCUCUACGCUCUUA
rnacentral:tRNA from 1 species